UACGUAGGGGGCUAGCGUUGUCCGGAAUCAUUGGGCGUAAAGCGCGUGUAGGCGGCCCGAUAAGUCCGCUGUGAAAGUCCAGGGCUCAACCCUGGGAUGCCGGUGGAUACUGUCGGGCUCGAGUCCGGAAGAGGCGAGUGGAAUUCCUGGUGUAGCGGUGAAAUGCGCAGAUAUCAGGAGGAACACCAAUGGCGAAGGCAGCUCGCUGGGACGUGACUGACGCUGAGACGCGAAAGCGUGGGGAGCAGACAGG
rnacentral:rRNA from 1 species